GUGGAAGCUAUGUAAGGACUGGAGAAACGCGUGUUCUCGUGCAAACAAACCCCAAAACAAAACAAGAGAUACUGCCUUUGGACUGGACUUUGUCCAGCCUGGAGUCACAGUGCCAGUCAAGAGCCACUCCAGAAUACUUGUGCCUGGAUCUUCACUAGGGCCGGCCAGGGCAGAAUGCAGUGUUCUCAGGACUACAAAGCUGGGUCACCCACACAUGGUUGG
rnacentral:lncRNA from 1 species